rnacentral:rRNA from 1 species
GAUGAACGCUGGCGGCGUGCCUAAUACAUGCAAGUCGAGCGAGCGGCGGACGGGUGAGUAACGCAUCGGAACGUACCGAGUAAUGGGGGAUAACUGUCCGAAAGGACAGCUAAUACCGCAUAUUAUUCGAGCGGCCGAUGUCUGAUUAGCUGGUUGGCGGGGUAAAGGCCCACCAAGGCGACGAUCAGUAGCGGGUCUGAGAGGAUGAUCCGCCACACUGGGACUGAGACACGGCCCAGACUCCUACGGGAGGCAGCAGUGGGGAGUUUUGGACAAUGGGCGCAAGCCUGAUCCAGCCAUGCCGCGUGUCUGAAGAAGGCCUUCGGGUUGUAAAGGACUUUUGUCAGGGAAGCGGUACCUGAAGAAUAAGCACCGGCUAACUACGUGCCAGCAGCCGCGGUAAUUC